rnacentral:pre_miRNA from 1 species
GUCGUACUCCCUCCGUUCGGAAUUACUUGUCGCAGAAAUGGAUGUAUCUAGACGUAUUUUAGUUCUAGAUACAUCCAUUUCCGAGACAAGUAAUUCCGAACGGAGGGAGUAUAUC